UACGUUGUGUUGCGUCUUAGAUAAAUUGUUGUGAUACAAUUUCAUUUUUUUCAUCUAUAUCAUUUAUGAAUUCAAUGAACACACAUUAUUUAAACGUUCUAUGUGCAACUAUUUGUCGGGGCGCCCCUGUUUGUAACCCCCGCGCGCGCGCCGAAUGUAAACAGUAACGAACGGCAUUGUAGAAAAGAGAGAGCCGUAAUGCAGAAGAGAAGUUGUGUAUUCUUUCGGUGUACACAUGCAUUUUCAAUUUACUGUGAAACAUAUGAACAUGCACAGGGAACAAUACUACAUAUUUGUUUAAGGAGGAUAUUUUUCUCGUGUGAAUCGUUUACGAGGAAAUUCUGACAGCCACACUUCUGUCGACGAUCAGCCGUUGAUAAGCUACGAGUAGCCUAAUAAAGGAGAAAAUAUGGACAUUAAAGUGUGUGAUUUAUGUGGAUGUUACUGAAGAAGCUCAAAACAGACUCUUGUUACCACAUGGCUUUUACCGGUACCUGUUGAUUCUUGUGUGUCAGCUCCUGAGAUUAACCUGUCACCUCUAUCCACAUGCAUAUUCCUUGUGUUCUACAGACUAUUUACCGGUAAUUCAAAUUAAAUCCGAUAAUGCAUGAAUAAUAAUGGAACUUGAAGAAAGCAUCAUGCCAUGUUGUGGUUUGUGUUUGAUAAGAAAUUAUGAAAACAAAAUUAAGGCUGUUUAAAGAAAUUCAUAAUUGCUGUGAAA